AGGACGAACGCUGGCGGCGUGCUUAACACAUGCAAGUCGAACGGAAAGGCCCUUUCGGGGGUACUCGAGUGGCGAACGGGUGAGUAACACGUGGGUGAUCUGCCCUGCACUUCGGGAUAAGCUUGGGAAACUGGGUCUAAUACCGGAUAGGACUACGAAUCGCAUGGUUUGUGGUGGAAAGCUUUUGCGGUGUGGGAUGGGCCCGCGGCCUAUCAGCUUGUUGGUGGGGUGAUGGCCUACCAAGGCGACGACGGGUAGCCGGCCUGAGAGGGUGUCCGGCCACACUGGGACUGAGAUACGGCCCAGACUCCUACGGGAGGCAGCAGUGGGGAAUAUUGCACAAUGGGCGCAAGCCUGAUGCAGCGACGCCGCGUGGGGGAUGACGGCCUUCGGGUUGUAAACCGUCUUCACCAUCGGCGAAGCCCAUAGCUUUGUUGUGGGUGACGGUAGGUGGAGAAGAAGCACCGGCCAACUACGUAGCCAGCAGCCGCGGU
rnacentral:rRNA from 1 species